rnacentral:rRNA from 1 species
GACGAACGCUGGCGGCGUGCUUAACACAUGCAAGUCGAACGGAAAGGCCCUGCUUUUGUGGGGUGCUCGAGUGGCGAACGGGUGAGUAACACGUGAGUAACCUGCCCUUGACUUUGGGAUAACUUCAGGAAACUGGGGCUAAUACAGGAUAGGAGCUCCUGCUUCAUGGUAGGGGUUGGAAAGUUUCGGCGGUUGGGGAUGGACUCGCGGCUUAUCAGCUUGUUGGUGGGGUAGUGGCUUACCAAGGCUUUGACGGGUAGCCGGCCUGAGAGGGUGACCGGCCACAUUGGGACUGAGAAACGGCCCAGACUCCUACGGGAGGCAGCAGUGGGGAAUAUUGCACAAUGGGCGGAAGCCUGAUGCAGCAACGCCGCGUGCGGGAUGACGGCCUUCGGGUUGUAAACCGCUUUCGCCUGUGACGAAGCGUGAGUGACGGUAAUGGGUAAAGAAGCACCGGCUAACUACGUG